UACGUAGGGUCCGAGCGUUGUCCGGAUUUAUUGGGCGUAAAGAGCUCGUAGGCGGUUUCGUAAGUCGGAUGUGAAAACUCAGGGCUCAACCCGGAGACGCCAUCCGAUACUGCGAUGACUGGAGUCUGGUAGGGGAUCACGGAAUACCUGGUGUAGCGGUGAAAUGCGCAGAUAUCAGGUGGAACACCGAUGGCGAAGGCAGUGAUCUGGGCCAGUACUGACGCUGAGGAGCGAAAGCUAGGGGAGCAAACAGG
rnacentral:rRNA from 1 species